AUGGCUGGAAUCUGGCCAGAUUGCACCAGGCCAAGCAGCAUGAGAGAUUCUUUCCUUACCCCAUGGAAUGUACUUAGAUGUUAUCUUGAGAGCAUAUUACAGGUUGCUGUGAUGCAUGAAUUGAUUGGCAAUGGUGCCGAAGCAGAAGUUUUAUUACGGAUAGGAAAGGAGAUAUCAUCUUUCCAAGGACUACCAAUUUUUGCUGUUGUCUUUACAUCAGUGUUAGGUCAAAUAUACCACAAGAGACAGCUAUGGGAUGCCGCUGAGGGUGAGCUUAAACAUGCUAAGGACCUCCUUGCAGAAAAUGAUGAAUUCAUUUCAUGCAAGACAUGCAAGUUGACUCUGCCGAUAUCAGUUGAUGUGCAAGCUGGAGAUCUGUCUUGGAAUCUCUUUGAGAAAGACUUGCAGAAACAAUCAACAGGCAAUUUGUCUAGUGCUUUAGGCAUGUAUCAAUCUGCCGUGGAGAAAUUGAAUAACUCUGGUUUGGAUUUUUCUGCUGGAUCCUGUGAUAAAGUUAAUACUAGUUGUAUGUUGUACAGCAAAGAUUCUAUUGCAGAAACCAAGCGUGGAGCUUGUAAUAAUGGGAAAGAACCCUUAGCAGCCAAGGAUGGAGUUUUACCUCCAUGUACUCCUUGUUUGUUGUUCAGUCAGGUACCUAUUGACCAGUACGAUGAACUUGUGGGAUUAAAAUCUGAAAGGGAGAAUUUGAAGAGUGCCGAAAGUGCUCCACCAUUGGAUGUUAAAGUUAAGAGGGCAUCUGGAACUUCAUUACGUUUAGCUAAAGAACAGAAUGUGUCAGCUCAUGCAAAGACUAGAACCACCCGAUCUAGUAAGCGAACUGCACAUGUGAAAAGUGAAAAAGACUUGGCUGAACUGAAUAGCAAAAAUGACAUAUCUUAUAGCAAGGAAUUGUCCACAGAUGGUUUGGUCUGUGGGAAGCUAAACUGUUCCCUUGAUGGUGUUGGCCGCAACAGAGAUGACAUAUGCAAUAUGUUUGGAUGUUGGAGCUGCCUUUUUGUUAAUUCACUCAAUUUUGAGUGCAUUGAGAAUAUACUGCAGUUCAGAGAAGACUGCAUUCGCCGACGCCAUCUUGUGUCGCUUCUGUUAAAGACAGCAAGAACCUUGGGAGCUCAGGGUGGAAAACAUGGAGCUCAUGAAGUUCAUAGUAUCUACUGGCAGUGCAUAUCAUUGUUGUAUUUCAGAUCUCUUCCUCAAGGGUGUUAUAGAACAUAUGGGCCUCGUUUAGUUGAACUGAUCAUGAAUGAAAAUACUGGUGAUUUUCUUUCUUUAGAGCGUGCAGAAAUACUAUGUAGUAUGAGUUCCUUUUUGCUGAAGGGUUUCCUUUCAGAACAGUCAAGGGAUGGUUGCUGCAGCUUCUGUAGUGUACAAAUGUCUGAUGUUGUUUCAUGGUUGCUGAAAGCUUUUGUGCUAUCUGGAGAGAGUCCUUCACUUCUCCAGGAGGUUUGCAGGCUACUUACAUGCAUAUUCUUACUAUCAACGAUAGAUUCCACGGUCCAAUUACCUUUGUAUUCCAAGGGAUCUCUCUCUUUGAAUCAUUGGGCCGCAUACUUCCACCAAACUUCUGUUGGAACUUAUCUCAAUUGCCAUUACCUUGCGAGCUUACAAGCAUUGCCCAGAAAAACAGAAUCGAAGGGUGUCACUGGAGAUCUCACAGACAAGACAGAUGAAGUUCCAAAGUUUCUAAGGUUUUCAUCGGCAGGCAUGGAACAUCUUGAAAAGCAUGUGAUUGAAUUCUUCCAUGAACUUCCUGAUGUACCAAUUGUGUGCAUUAGUAUGCUUGGAGGUGAUAUUGUGAAUGUUCUUGGGGAAACACUUCUUCUCCCUUCCCCUUUUCCUGCUUGGAUGUUGAUCUCAAGGUUUGAUUCAACAAACAAGCCUACCACGAUGCUUCUACCAGUGGAUCCUAUUUCGAAAGAAGCAGAGAAUGGAGACUCUUCUAUCAAAGAACUGGAUAAUCCAACUAGAACAUCAGAUAAGGAAUGGAAGUGCCCUUGGAGCUACACUAUAAUAGACUAUGUGGCUCCAACUUUCAAAAAGCUACUUGAGGAUAACUUUAGAUCCCUCUCUGGUGCGACCCACAUUCCAGAGGAUGGAAAAGCAAACGCCAUAAGGUGGUGGUCAGAUAGAAUGAAGCUCAAUGAUGACCUUAGUGAGAUGUUGGAAAACAUUGAAGAAUUGUGGCUAGGACCCUGGAAAUGCCUUCUCCUGGGCCACCAAUUAGCUGACCAACAUAGCAAGGCAGUGCUGGAAAAUCUAUUCACUGCUCUGGAGUCAGAAUUUAAACUUGAAGUAGAUCCAGCACUCAUCAAGGUCAUCCUUGGUGGGGUUGCAUCAGUGGAUGAAUUGAAAGAAUGUGUUUCUCAACUUAUAUCAUACAAAAGUUACUUUGGCAGGGGAGGGUGUUGCGGAAGAGAUAGACUUAGAGCCUUCUGUUGCCAGACUGAUGGUGAAGCUCUGGUGACCCUCGAGCAUUUGUGCAAUGGUAUAGUGGAUGAGCUAUCUGAGCCAAUUGAAAGAAAUCCGGUCAUUUUAGUCCUGGAUACUGAUGUGCAGAUGCUUCCUUGGGAGAACUUGCCUGCUUUAAGGAAUCAAGAAAUAUACCGCAUGCCAUCAAUGAGAAGCAUCUUUCUAGCAUUGACUAGAAGCACUAAUCAUCACAAAGAUGCCAGUGCCAUGGCCCCUCCUUUUCCUGUUAUUGACCCUUUCGAUGCAUUCUAUCUGUUGAAUCCUAGUGGUGAUUUGAUCAGCACACAAGAAGAAUUUUAUCAGUUGUUUAGAAACUAUGAGUGGAAGGGAAAUGCUGGGGAUGCUCCAACAGCUGAAGAGCUCGUCUUGGCCCUGAGGAAUCAUGAUCUUUUUCUCUACUUUGGACAUGGAAGUGGAAGUCAAUAUGUCUCUGGAAAGGAAAUUGAGAAGUUAGAUAACUGCGCAGCUGCUCUUCUUAUGGGUUGCAGUAGUGGGACACUUCAUUGCAAAGGCGGUUAUGCUCCUCAAGGGGCACCUUUGUCUUAUUUAUUUGCUGGUUCUCCUUCUGUCAUUGCAAAUCUCUGGGACGUCUCGGAUAAAGAUAUCGAUCGAUUUAGUAAAGCAUUGCUGAAUUCAUGGUUGCAAGAAAAAUUUAAGGCCGCCAAGAAUUGCCCUAAAUGUUGCCGCCCACUAACACAAGAAUUUGAGUCCACAACGAUUGCUGCAAAGGAUAAUGGUAGGCCAAGACGAAAAGGUACACGACAAGGUCAGAAGCAGCAGCAGACAGGAGAGAUAGAUGGCAGUAGUAACUGCUGUAAUUGCAGGCACAGGAGAAUAGCUACGCAUAUAAGUGAAGCUAGGCGUGCUUGCAGGCUUCCGCUUAUGAUCGGCGCAUCUCCUGUUUGUUACGGUGUGCCUACUAUCAUCAGGAAGAAGUAA
rnacentral:rRNA from 1 species